AUUGAACGCUGGCGGCAUGCCUUACACAUGCAAGUCGAACGCGAAAGGGGGGCAACUCCUGAGUAGAGUGGCGCACGGGUGAGUAAUGCAUCGGAACGUGUCCUGUAGCGGGGGAUAACCUAGCGAAAGCUAGGCUAAUACCGCAUACGCCCUAAGGGGGAAAUGGGGGAUCGUAAGACCUCACACUAUAGGAGCGGCCGAUGCCGGAUUAGCUAGUUGGUGGGGUAAGAGCCCACCAAGGCGACGAUCCGUAGCUGGUCUGAGAGGAUGAUCAGCCACACUGGGACUGAGACACGGCCCAGACUCCUACGGGAGGCAGCAGUGGGGAAUUUUGGGACAAUGGGGGCAACCCUGAUCCAGCCAUGCCGCGUGAGUGAA
rnacentral:rRNA from 1 species